UUUGCAGCAAUGGAAGCGAACGGCAGCUUCCUCGCUUGCAACAGCCUGAAAGAUGACAAGGAUCUGAAGUUCCUUCUCAAAGGCAGCCAGCUGAUCAAAGUGAAGUCAGGUUCUUGG